rnacentral:rRNA from 1 species
GAUGAACGCUGGCGGCGUGCUUAACACAUGCAAGUCGAACGGAAAGGCCCUGAUUUUGUUGGGUGCUCGAGUGGCGAACGGGUGAGUAACACGUGUGUAACCUGCCCUUGACUUUGGGAUAACUUCAGGAAACUGCGGCUAAUACCGGAUAGGAGCUCCUGCUGCAUGGUGUUGGUUGGAAAGUUUCGGCGGUUGGGGAUGGACUCGCGGCUUAUCAGCUUGUUGGUGUGGUAGUGGUUUACCAAGGCUAUGACGGGUAGCCGGCCUGAGAGGGGGACCGGCCACAUUGGGACUGAGGUACGGACCAGACUCCUACGGGAGGCAGCAGUGGGGAAUAUGACACAAUGGGCGGAAGCGAGAGGCAGCAACGUCGGGUGCGGGAUAACGGGUUUCGGGGUGAAAACCGCUUUCGACUGUGACGAAGCGUUAGUGACGGUAAUGGAUAAAGAAGCACCGGCUAACUACGUG